AUAUAUUUUUAAUUAUGAGACAUUACACUUCGCUUUAAUUGGGCUUUCGUUUGUUUAACAUGUCAUUAUUACUUGAAAUUAAAGUUUGAAUCUGUCGAUGGCGUCACCAUGGCGGAACACAUCAAGCCGACGGUAGGCCGUUGGGCACAGAUUUCAAAGUUACUAUCAGAUUUAAUGUAAUUACCUUGACAAAUUAUACAUUAUUAAACGUAUAUAAGACUCAAGUUUCAGUAUUUGACCACUGUUUCUGAGAAACUUAUAGUGACGGUUAUGUAUUAAUUAAUUAAAGGAGUUAUGCAAUAAAAAACAGUCGAUGGCGCUUUUAAUAUGAAUUAUGUGCGUCAUUCAUCCGCUCCCAUUCAUAAAUCCCUCUGUCGUCGUCAUGACAGAGCUCGACCAAACAAGUGCUUUAGCUCAAAAAUAUGCAGAUUCUGAGAAAUAUUUAUUGAUUAUCAUAGGUUUCUGUCAGAUUUCUGUAUAACGUUAGAGGAAUUAUAUUUAUUGAAUACACCCAAAAUGGGCGGAUGUAAUCAUAGCGCUGGAUACUCCUCGGAUGUAGUGUGUUUUCAAUACACACUGGCAGCCGGCGGGCGGCCUGUCGUGUGCACAUAAUUUAUAACGUUACUACAUAAUAUAUCACGAAGAAGAGCCACAUGACCUGUGACACCUGAAACCACAACAAAGUUUCCAAAGAUCGCAGAAUACUUGCAGAUAACAUGAUUGCAACGAUAUAUGACGCAUUAUUUGUGUUCUUCAAGCCAUGCAGAUAACUUCAUAAUAUAUUACAUUUAUAAUUUGAUAGCCUACAGUGUCAACAGAAGUGAAAACGGAUAAAAGAAAUUGAAGUGGUCAGCCUCAGCCCCUCUGUGGGUGUGUUUAUAGAAAGGUGGCCAGCAUUAUUCACUGAAGCUCAGAUCAAGGAGGAGUUUAGACGCAUCACAACAUAUUCCUUGGAGGAGACAUUCACACGGAAGCUUGAUGAGUACUCACGAGGUCUUUUGCGGCUAAUGCGUGCCAAAGGAGAAGUAGCUGGUUGCAAGAUGUGUCCUCUGCUGGACACUUUAAAUGACACACAGAACAUUGAGAAAAAAAAGAGAUGCUGCCAUUACUACCAGGAAUGUGAGGACUACACAGACAAAAAUAUGAAGGUGAUUGUGAAGCACAAUGUCAUGGCUGAGGAGGAUCCAUCAGAUUUGUCUAUUGUGAUCGAGGGAAACCAACGAUGUUUUAUUAUCCAACAUUAUUAAAACAACAUUUGAUAGACCAAAUUACCUCAAAUGAAAAGUUACCUCGCCAUUAUUGCUCAAAAGGUAAGUUCCUCUGAUUUUGCUUUUUAAAAUUGUUUCUCUAGCAGAGCUGUAGAGACUUGUGAUGUUGGGCUGAUUGAUAGUGUUAAUUAUUUGAUUUAAGUUAUUUGCACUUUAAUUUAUUGAAGAGAAUAACUUUUAUUUUUCUUCUAUGAACAAGACUGGAAGGAGUCCUGUGGAGGAUUUAGAUUCCUCCUCUUUUGAGAAGUGCAACCGAUUGAAGUUAUAAAGGGCUCUGGGGUGUUUUGCCAGGCAGAAGUGUGGAAAGCAGCCCUCCUUGCCACCUCUGCUACUGCCAUGGUGUGGAAUCUGCUGCUGGGCACAUUUGAUCUGGAGACUUUGCUGAAAACAACCUGAAUGGUGGGAAGCCAACCAGAGGGGAUGGGGAGCAGCUGGUCGCCCUUGACCAAAUUAAAAAGGCAUCAUUAUUGAUGCUACAUUGAAGAAGUGGCCGUCAGCCAGCCGAGGGGAGAUGGGCACGUCUAUCAAUUCAAAUCUCAUGGAGCUGAGAAGAUCAAAAAGUUUUUUUUUUCUAUCCAGUUUUUUUGUCUUAUUUUUGUUUUUGUACUAUUUGAUCUUAAGUAAAUAAA